CAUCCCACGCAGCUUGACUUCUUUUAGAAAAUUUGAGCCAAAAAUGGUGCUGCCAAUUCAGACAAACUCCUGAGAGAUAGGUAAUUUUGUAAAUGUAAUUUUUUCAGACAUUUUUUAAAGUCUAGCACCUCUCUCAGUUGCAUCAGGAGCUUGACAUGUGUCAGGUAAUGGUUUUCCUGUCAGAGAGCUGCCUUUUGUUGUCUCCAUGAAAAUCUGUCCAGCUUUGGGUACACUAUAAACUAUGAACAUAUCACCAUUUUAACAUGCACCAUAGAACUUGUUAUGGGCUCCUUAAUACUCUGAAUGUUCUAAUAGCUCUGUCCAUGGCCUCAGACCUCACUACGGUGCCUGCCUCAUUCUGAAAUGGUCAUGUAGAACUGAACCUCCAUACAGGACAGGAGACAAAAUUAAUUAUCCGCCUGCCUUCCCCCAUCUAUAUGCCUGUUAGCCUAGAAAGAAGUGCACUGGGUUGUGAGGCAGGGAAACUAUGAGCUUCUUUGACUUUCAUUAAGGGCCUAACUUCCAGUUCAACUCCUAAUUCUUCAAACCUUUCCCAGAAGUGGGUGAGAAGAAGAGAGUUUAAGGCUCCAACUGAUUUUUAUCAAGGAAAGCAAAAAGAAGAAGAAGAAGAAGAAGAGGAGCUGUCGCCGGCAUUCUGCCAAAGACGGAGUGGGGAAGAGCUGAGCUGCCGCCGGCGUGCCACCGAAGAAUCAGAGGUCCAGGAGCACUGCUGCCGCCGUGCUGGGCAUCCCACUUUGGAGACCACUGCUGUAGAGGGCCCUCAACAGAGAGCACAGACAGCACACCUCUGAGAUAACUGUAAGCUGGAAGGGAAUGUGGGGGUAUUGGCAUGCACAUAAAUCCACUGAGCAUCCCAUUCUGCUUCUGGGAUUCCGAAGACAAGAACUGCCAUAACACAGAGCUUUUGAAACUGGAGCAGGAAAAGAAACUCAUCAUCAACAUGUUGCCAGCUGCUGAGUGUAUUCAGUGUGGAAUUGGCGCUAGAAAACAGGGUCCUGCAAGUCAUGUCUAUUAUUCACCUGCCUGAAGGAAAUAAUCCUUGGUAAAAACUAGCUCAAAGUUUCUUUUUAUAAACACUGCACUGAUACUGUCAGUUGUUGUCAACAAAUGCUAUAUAUAUAUAUAUUAUUGAUACUAUAUAUAUUAUUGGAUAUAAUUUCUAAUAUCAAAAGAUUGUAAUUGUGUUAAUGUAUCCAUUAACAGUGUGCUUACAG